GGAAUUUUGGACAAUGGGCGCAAGCCUGAUCCAGCCAUGCCGCGUGCGGGAAGAAGGCCUUCGGGUUGUAAACCGCUUUUGUCAGGGAAGAAAAGCUUCGGGCUAAUACCUCGGAGUCAUGACGGUACCUGCAGAAUAAGCAGCGGCUCACUACGUGCCCGCAGCCGCGGUAAGACGUAGGGUGCAAGCGUUAAUCGGAAUUACUGGGCGUCAAGCGUGCGCAGGCGGUCAUGCAAGACAGAUGUGAAAUCCCCGGGCUCAACCUGGGAACUGCAUUUGUGACUGCAUGGCUAGAGUGCGGCAGAGGGGGAUGGAAUUCCGCGUGUAGCAGUGAAAUGCGUAGAUACGCGGAGGAACACCGAUGGCGAAGGCAAUCCCCUGGGCCUGCACUGACGCUCAUGCACGAAAGCGUGGGGAGCAAA
rnacentral:rRNA from 1 species